rnacentral:tRNA from 1 species
UGAUUCAGUGGUAGAAUUUUCGCCUUCUGUGCGAGAGACCUGGGUUCUAUUCCCUG